rnacentral:tRNA from 2 species
GGAAGGCAAACGCACCCGGUGGUGCGCCCGGGCUUCAAACCCGGUUGGGGGGCGCCAGCCGCUUCCUGGUCGGUUCGACUCCGGCUGCUUUCCGCCA